UACAGAGGUCUCAAGCGUUGUUCGGAUUCAUUGGGCGUAAAGGGUGCGUAGGCGGCGCGGUAAGUCGGGUGUGAAAUCUUGGAGCUUAACUCCGAAACUGCAUUCGAUACUGCCGCGCUUGAGGACUGGAGAGGAGACUGGAAUUUACGGUGUAGCGGUGAAAUGCGUUGAUAUCAUCUGGAAUACCGGAGGCGAAGGCGGCUCACUGGGGGUUUUCUGACGCUGAGGAACGAAAGCCAGGGUAGCGAACGGG
rnacentral:rRNA from 1 species